rnacentral:rRNA from 1 species
CCUACGGGUGGCUGCAGUGGGGAAUAUUGGGCAAGGGGCGCAAGCCUGACCCAGCAAAGACGCGUGAAGGAAGAAGGCGGGCGGGUUGUAAACUUCUUGGCUGAGGGACGAAGAAAGUGACGGUACCUCAGGAAUAAGCCACGGCUAACUACGUGCCAGCAGCCGCGGUAAUACGUAGGUGGUAAGCGUUAUCCGGAUUUAUUGGGUGUAAAGGGCGUGUAGGCGGGAAAGCAAGUCAGAUGUGAAAACUCAGGGCUCAACCCUGAGCCUGCAUUUGAAACUGUUUUUCUUGAGUGCUGGAGAGGCAAUCGGAAUUCCGUGUGUAGCGGUGAAAUGCGUAGAUAUACGGAGGAACACCAGUGGCGAAGGCGGAUUGCUGGACAGUAACUGACGCUGAGGCGCGAAAGCGUGGGGAGCAAACAGGAUUAGAUACCCGAGUAGUC